UUCGAAGCAACGGAAGAACCUUACCAGGCCUUGACAUGCAGAGAACUUUCCAGAGAUGAUGGUGCCUCGGGAACUCUGACACAGUGCUGCAUGGCUGUCGUCAGCUCGUGUCGUGAGAUGUUGGGUUAGUCCCGUAACGAGCGCAACCCUUGUCCUUAGUUUACCAGCACGUUAUGGUGGGCACUCUAGGAGACUGCCGGUGACAAACCUUAGGAAGGUGGGGAUGACGUCAAGUCAUCAUUGC
rnacentral:rRNA from 1 species